AAUUAGUGAUUUAAUAUUUUUAAAAUUUUACUCUUCUGUUUUCCAUAAAAGAAUAGUGGUGUCUGGAAUAUGCUACAUUUGAUAGUUUAGCAUGAAAAAUGUGAUUCAUGAAAAGAUAUCAUGCUGUAAAUGAAUUCUGUAUGUUCUACAUAAGAAAUAUAUUGUUAAUUGUGAAUAAUAACAUGAUCUGAAGUCAGUUCGUAGCAUGUUUUACGGGAGAAAUACAUUCAGUAUAAAAGCGAUUAAAAAUUUGUUUUUGAAGAAUUAUGCUACAAAUUAAGUGCUUUUUCAAAUAUCUGUGGAGAAUGUAAUUUUAGUGUGAAGUAUAUCAUUUUUCAUUGAUCAUGUUUUCUUAAUUUUUUGUAGUCAUGUAUAAUUAAGGAGUACUGAUUAAUCAUAUUCUAAUAAAGGUUUAAUCAAGUACAUCAGAGGAAACAGUUUCCUAUUUUAAUAAAUUGAAGUAAAUUAUAGCUGAAGGAUAAAAUUUUGAGCUGUGCCUCUCAGAUUAUUGGUUUUAGCGACAUUUCAGACUUGCGUUUAAAAUAAUUUUUUGGAUAUAUGUAAGUGUGUUAAGGAACUGUUUUAAAAAAUACCUUAAUUAUAUAUGCUUUCAUUUAUAUUUUUCUUGUGAGAGAAAAGGAAAAUUAUUUUCUACUAGAGUUGUUGUAGUUCUGAAGCCUGUUUUAUGUUUUCAAAUAUGAAAGGGUGUUCGACUGUUUUUGUAUUUGCUUUUGCAGUGUAAUCUACCUUUGGUUCUUUUAAUGAAAUUGUGCUGUUUUAAUUUCCUGAUUCUUGGUAUGUGCUUGUGAAUAUAUAUUCAAAGAAUUAUAAAGUUUUCAGUGCCAUUUAAUAUGCUGUCACAGUUGCAGUAGCUGUCAGAAUAUUAAAAUAGAAAGAUAUGUAAACAUUGCAUCAGGUUAAAUUAAAUAUCAGAAAAUAUGGAUAUUGUAAAUUAAAAUUAUUUUUCACUACAUCUUUGUGGAUAGUAUACUGCUGAAAUGCAUAUGCCAGGGUAAUAUUACAUCAAAAGUCAUGUAAAAUUUCUGAAUGAAUAGUAUAAAAGUGUAAACAGUGCAUCUAGUGUGUUUAGAGAAUUAUUGUUAAAGGAUUAUUUUCUACAAUGCAGAAAAGAAAAAAGGAACUAUUUCAUAUAAUGUAUUUUAUGAAUCUUGUUCUCUUAAAAAAAAUUUUUAUUGUAUUAGCAGUAAAGUACCAGAGUUUUUUAGCAUGUACUAUUAAAAAUUUACCGUGAACUUAUUUCAGAUUUUUAAAUUAUGAUAAUUUCAGCUGAAGGGAAUAAUAAAUUUAAUUGUGGGCCAUCUUAAUAUGUUAUCAAUUCCAGCAUGCCUUAUCUAUUGUUCCUGCUGGAGAAACUGACUUUUCAAAAAAUAUUAAAAUUUUUUCAUUCAUCUUGAAUGCUUUUGUAGUUUUGUUAUAGCUAAUGCAUUCUAGUCUAAAAACAUUAAUUUUUAUUUUAAGUAUAAAGGGCAUAUUUUUAAUUAAAUUUUUAUUUAUCAUCUGUUUCUGAUUAUAUAUAUAUAUAUAUAUAUAUAUAUAUAUUUUUUUUUUUUUUUUUUUUUUUUAAGAAUAGUAAAUUUCAAAAUUAAUGUAAUUUUUCCCUUGUUCUGUUGUCACUUUAAGACGCAGUUAAAAUUUUUGUAAGUGCUAGUCAAGAUUCAAGGCAUUGUGAUAAAUACAAAUUAAAUGGGCGUUUUGUAUGUAUUUGUAUUUUUGUUAAGUUUCAGAAUUCCAUUAUAUGGCUAAUUAUGAAUGUAGCGUAUCACAAAGGGACAUGUGUCUUCUACAUAUAAAAUUUCCCAAAACAUAUUUGAGGACCAUUUCUAUCACUGAAGUUUUUUGUCUAUUCUUGCAUUAUCUACUUGUUAUUUAUGUCUCAUGACAAUUAACUCCUCUACACUGUGAUCAUCUGUAAAGAAUAUCUGAUGACUUCUCAUACUGGUGAUGGAUUCACUAUUUUCAUGGUCAUGACACUAGUUAUGACCUUUUCUGCCGUAUAUUGUGAUCUUUCUUUACUAAGGUGAAUGUUGUGAAUAAAUAAAUUCUUUCGUCAUCCUGAGUAGAUGCAAUAGUUUGCAAUUCUCAGUUAUUGAGAACUUUUGUUUGCUUUAUGUAUUUUGAAUUCAUAUUUAUAUUGUGAAGAAUAAAAUUGUGUGAAAGCACAUGAUCUUGCUAAUUGUUCAUAUACAUUGAUGUACCUUCUGUAAUGUUUUGCUGAUUUAAGACUGGUUAUAUUUUUUAAUAAAACCUGUUUUUUGAUUGUCUGAAUGUCAGCAUUAUAUGAGUAAAACAUGUUACAAAAAGUC